UCUCAUAAGAUCACUGAAGUUAAGCAAUGUUGAGUUUGGUCAGUACCUAAAUGGAUGGCCACUUGGGAAUACCAGGUGCUGUAA